CUUUAAUUUUUUCAUUAAAUUUUAGUUAAAGUUUCUGUUAAUUUUGUUUUUAACAUAUGUGAUCUGAAUCGUAAUGAAAUAUCCAUCACUCAUCUUUUCCAAAUUCAGUUAGACCAUUUCGCUUUGCUUUGAAUUCUAAGUCAGAAUGUAUGGGGUGCGCGGUACGGGUUAGAAGAACAUAGGGGCGGGGGUACAAAUAAACGCAUCACAACACCAAAGUCUGGGUGAGACGGUGAUGGUGUGAAACGCUUCUUGCUUCAAGCUCUUGUGGUAACAGUGUUAAAAGCAACAACAACAACAGAGAAUAACGCAUCGCGUAGAAACAAACACACCGUUCGUGGGUAUGUCAGGGGGGGAAACAACGGGAAAAGCUCAAUUCUCUCUCAGCGAUGCCGCUUGGGUAUAGGGACUAGGUGGGCUUAUAGGUUUGGCGGGAACGCCAUAUUGGAGAAAAAUUUGACAGGAGGGGAUUCGAUUGCGAUACGUAUCUAUUCACUCACACUACGAAACACAAAUAGCAAGCUGUGAGUUUGUUUACUUUUGCAAAUGAAACGAUUGCAAAUAUUCCUGAGUUAAAAAUAUCAAAGAACUCCGUUGUGAUCGGGUUAAGUAUCGAAUAUUUCUUUUAAAAAGUGAAAAAGAACCAAAAGAGAUAAGGGGCAACGCAAUAUUAAAUUGUUUUCGUUUGUAUUUCCCAAAUUCCAGCAUUGUUUGUCGAGUCCAUACAGCGCUUUUUUACUGAUCUGGACAAUCUGGUACGGGUAUGAUUCAUGUUGCAGUACAAACAUUAAAAGAUUAUAAAGCUAAUAAGCCUCCUCAGUGCGAACCAUGUAUCUAAAGGUGCUGGAAACGAAAAGUUAUGCUCGUCAAGUAGCCAUGCCACUCAUAAAUAAGUUUUGCAACUAAUAGCAUGAUAGAUAUUUUUUUACCAUGAAGGUAUAAAUUUUUAUUCUUUACCAAAUCAUGACCUGCCAUCUCAAUAGAGGACAUGUAAACAAGGAGAAGAAAAAGGACAAAUAUGAAGUCAUUGUAAUCGACGCAAUGGAGGAAAACAAAGAAGUAUACCAUGGACCUAGGACACGGAAGUAAUUUUUAUCCAUCUACUUAAUCAUCGGAAUAUCCUGAAGAGUAAUAAUCCGGAAUAGGAAAGAGAGCGCUGUAAAGCCCCUAUCGUUUAAUUAUAACGUACAACAAAACACACCGGCAAGAAUAUCUUUAUAUAUGUGCAAAGGUCAUUAUGAACUGUACAUACUAACAUGAUGAACAACAUGAAUAGUAAAACGUGGUUAAUCGUACGAAAUCCCCAUAAAUAACCCUAUGUUGAUCAAGCGUUACAGUAAGUGUUGGCAGGUGCCAAUACCUUUAAGAUUGUUGCAAACAUACAUGAACAACUGAAGUUAAAGUGUGAAAGUCAUAAAGUCAUAGCGUGCAGCUCACAUUUGUUUAAAUUGCCACCAACUGAAAUCCAAAUAUGCUAGAUGAACAGGCUCCACGAAGGUAGUAAUCAUCCGUCUGCUUUCAAAAACUUUUUAUAGGACCGUGCGUGAAUAGGUUCUUAUUGUAUGUAUUUGUAAUGCAUUUUAAUAUUCAUUUUAAUCUUAACGAUAGUAUAGCCGUAUUAAUGCGCCAGAUUUAAAAAAUGUUUUUACAGUUUAUGAGUGUUUCCCGUUUCAGAAAUGUUAUUCAUGCAACUGCUGGUAAUGUUUAUCACUAUUAGUAAUUGUUUGUAUACGUUUCGUAUUGAUAUAUGUAACAUAUUCGACUAGUACGGUAUUGCAGCAAUAUAAAAUAACAAACUACAUAUCACGCUAAGAGAUUUAGAAAAUUAGAGACGCAAAAAUAGUUGUUUGUCUUGGAAGUCAUGAAUUACGUCAAUUUUAGCUGAAACAAUCUACUCAAACGUAACACGAUUUUUUACGCACUAGACUAUAUCAUAUUUUCCUAGCACUAAUUGAAAAUUCGAACGAUUAUUUUUAUGCUGAAUGCAAAUCGAUGAUGAAAAUACACAUAAUAUACAAAUUA